AUUGAACGCUGGCGGCAGGCCUAACACAUGCAAGUCGAACGGUAACAGGAAACAGCUUGCUGUUUCGCUGACGAGUGGCGGACGGGUGAGUAAUGUCUGGGAAACUGCCUGAUGGAGGGGGGUAACUACUGGAAACGGUAGCUAAUACCGCAUAACGUCGCAAGACCAAAGAGGGGGACCUUCGGGCCUCUUGCCAGCGGAUGUGCCCAGAUGGGAUUAGCUAGUGGGGGGGGUAACGGCUCACCUAGGCGACGAUCCCUAGCUGGUCUGAGAGGAUGACCAGCCACACUGGAACUGAGACACGGUCCAGACUCCUACGGGAGGCAGCAGUGGGGAAUAUUGCACAAUGGGCGCAAGCCUGAUGCAGCCAUGCCGCGUGUAUGAAGAAGGCCUUCGGGUUGUAAAGUACUUUCAGCGGGGAUGAAGGGAGUAAAGUUAAUACCUUUGCUCAUUGACGUUACCCACAGAAGAAGCACCGGCUAACUUCGUG
rnacentral:rRNA from 1 species